rnacentral:misc_RNA from 1 species
CCGAGUUUACAACUCCCAAACCCAAUGUGAACGUUACCAAACUGUUGCCUCGGCGGGGUCACGCCCCGGGUGCGUAAAAGCCCCGGAACCAGGCGCCCGCCGGAGGAACCAACCAAACUCUUCUGUAGUCCCCUCGCGGACGUAUUUCUUACAGCUCUGAGCAAAAAUUCAAAAUGAAUCA